rnacentral:rRNA from 1 species
GACAGAGGGGGGCAAGCGUUGCUCGGAAUUACUGGGCGUAAAGGGCGCGUAGGCGGGAUGGCAAGUCGGUCGUGAAAUCCCUCGGCUCAACCGAGGAACGUCGAUCGAUACUGCUGUUCUUGAGGAUUGCAGAGGAGACUGGAAUUCCCGGUGUAGCGGUGAAAUGUGUAGAGAUCGGGAGGAACGCCGGUGGCGAAAGCGACUCUCUGGCUCGUAUCUGACGCUGAGGCGCGAAAGCUUGGGUAGCAAACGGG